rnacentral:tRNA from 1 species
UGGAUCACCUCCUAACAGGGAGACAACAAAAUGUUUAAUAUUAUUAUUUUGUCACCUUAGGUCGAUCGGUACCUCGCAUUUUUAAUUUAUUAAGAAUUUCAUUUCCUAAGUUUUUCUAGGUCACACCCAUUAUUUUCCCUGGGCCAUUAGCUCAGGUGGUUAGAGCGCACCCCUGAUAAGGGUGAGGUCCCUGGUUCAAGUCCAGGAUGGCCCAUAUCUCUAUGUUGGGGGUAUAGCUCAGUUGGUAGAGCGCCUGCUUUGCAAGCAGGAUGUCAGCGGUUCGAGUCCGCUUACCUCCACUGAUUACCACCUCUUCCAUAAAAUGUAGAAGGGAAAUGUUUUGAGCUGUGAUCACUUUCUGAACGAAUCUAGCUUCCUAAUCUAAUCAUUAAGAUGCUGGACUCAUUGAAUUAAUUUCAUUGUUUUCAGAGAACCUUGACAACUGCAUAGAUUAUUUUUAAAGACAAUAAGCAUCUUUAAUGAUGCAGAUUUAUUAUUUGUGCGAAUGCAUUAAUAACAAUUCUAUUAAGCUGAUGCUUCAAUUUUGAAGUUAUUGGUCAAGCUACAAAGGGCUCACGGAGGAUACCUAGGCACACAGAGGCGAUGAAGG